rnacentral:rRNA from 1 species
UGGGGAAUAUUGGACAAUGGGGGCAACCCUGAUCCAGCAAUGCCGCGUGUGUGAAGAAGGUCUUCGGAUUGUAAAGCACUUUCGACGGGGACGAUGAUGACGGUACCCGUAGAAGAAGCCCCGGCUAACUUCGUGCCAGCAGCCGCGGUAAUACGAAGGGGGCUAGCGUUGCUCGGAAUGACUGGGCGUAAAGGGCGUGUAGGCGGUUUACACAGUCAGAUGUGAAAUCCCCGGGCUUAACCUGGGAGCUGCAUUUGAUACGUG